rnacentral:rRNA from 1 species
AUUGAACGCUGGCGGCAGGCUUAACACAUGCAAGUCGAGCGGGGGAAGGUAGCUUGCUACCGGACCUAGCGGCGGACGGGUGAGUAAUGCUUAGGAAUCUGCCUAUUAGUGGGGGACAACAUCUCGAAAGGGAUGCUAAUACCGCAUACGUCCUACGGGAGAAAGCAGGGGAUCUUCGGACCUUGCGCUAAUAGAUGAGCCUAAGUCGGAUUAGCUAGUUGGUGGGGUAAAGGCCUACCAAGGCGACGAUCUGUAGCGGGUCUGAGAGGAUGAUCCGCCACACUGGGACUGAGACACGGCCCAGACUCCUACGGGAGGCAGCAGUGGGGAAUAUUGGACAAUGGGGGGAACCCUGAUCCAGCCAUGCCGCGUGUGUGAAGAAGGCCUUAUGGUUGUAAAGCACUUUAAGCGAGGAGGAGGCUACUUUAGUUAAUACCUAGAGAUAGUGGACGUUACUCGCAGAAUAAGCACCGGCUAACUCUGUGCCAGCAGCCGCGGUAAUACAGAGGGUGCGAGCGUUAAUCGGAUCUACUGGGCGUAAAGCGUGCGUAGGCGGCUUAUUAAGUCGGAUGUGAAAUCCCCGAGCUUAACUUGGGAAUUGCAUUCGAUACUGGUGAGCUAGAGUAUGGGAGAGGAUGGUAGAAUUCCAGGUGUAGCGGUGAAAUGCGUAGAGAUCUGGAGGAAUACCGAUGGCGAAGGCAGCCACCUGGCCUAAUACUGACGC